rnacentral:rRNA from 1 species
UACGUGAGGGGCGAACGUUGUUCGGUGUCACUGGGCUUAAAGGGCGCGUAGGUGGCUGCGUAAGUCAGGUGUGAAAGCCCUCGGCUUACCCGGGGAAUUGCGCCUUAUACUGCGUGGCUUGAGGAUUUCAGGGGAAAGGGGAACUCCGAGUGUAGCGGUGAAAUGCGCAGAUAUUCGGGGGAAGGCCGGCGGCGAAGGCGAGUCCCUGGACAACUCCUGACACUGAGGCACGAAAGCUAGGGGAGCAAACAGG